UGGGGAAUCUUCCGCAAUGGACGAAAGUCUGACGGAGCAACGCCGCGUGAGUGAAGAAGGUUUUCGGAUCGUAAAACUCUGUCUUUUGGGGCGAACGUGAGUAUGGUGAACAAUCAUAGUCAGUGACGGUACCAAAGGAGGAAGCCACGGCUAACUACGUGCCAGCAGCCGCGGUAAUACGUAGGUGGCAAGCGUUGUCCGGAAUUAUUGGGCGUAAAGAGCGCGUAGGCGGGAUAGUCAGUCUGUUGUAAAAGUGCGGGGCUCAACCCCGUGAUGGCAAUGGAAACAGCUAUUCUUGAGUGCAGGAGAGGAAAGUGGAAUUCCCAGUGUAGCGGUGAAAUGCGUAGAUAUUGGGAGGAACACCAGUGGCGAAGGCGACUUUCUGGACUGUGUCUGACGCUGAGGCGCGAAAGCCAGGGGAGCGAACGGGAUUAGAUACCCCGGUAGUCCUGGCCGUAAACGAUGGGUACUAGGUGUGGGAGGUAUCGACCCCUUCCGUGCCGGAGUUAACGCAAUAAGUACCCCGCCUGGGGAGUACGGUCGCAAGACUG
rnacentral:rRNA from 1 species